CCCCGGUACCGGCUCCGCCCCCGGCACCGCCCCGCCCUGGUACCGGCACUGGCACCGCCCCGGUCCGGUACCGGCACCAUCCCGGUCCGGUACCGGCACCGCCUCCGCCCUGGCACCGCCCCGGUCCGGUACCGGCACCAUCCCGGUCCGGCACUGGCACCGCCUCCGCCCUGGCACCGCCCCGGUCCGGUACUGGCACCGCCCCGGCUCUGCCGCCCCCGCUCCCGGGCAUUUCUUUCCCUUUUUUUUUAGCUCCUUCCCCCGCUUUUUGCUUCCUGGUUUGUUUAUUUGUUUAUUUGUUUGUUUCCCUUUUCCACCUUUUUUUUUCCCAUUUUUCCCCCUUUCCUCUUUUCUCUCCUUUUUUCCCCCUUUAUUCCUUUUUCUAUUUUCCCCUUUUUUCCUUUCACCCUUUUUCCUAUUUCUUUAGUUUGGUCCCUUUCCCCCUUUCUCCUCCCUUUUCCCCUCUUUUUUCCCUUUUUCUUUUCCUCUUUCUCCCUUUUUUUCCUCUUUUGCCCUAUCUUUUUAGUCCUUUUUCCAGUAUUCUCCCUCUUUUGCUUUCUUCUUCCUUCCCCUCACCUUUUUCCUUCCUCUCCCUUUUCCCUUUCCUUUCCCUUCCCUCCCCUUUUAUUCCUUUUUUUUUCUUUAAUUUGCCACUAUACCCAGUGCCCCCCAGCACACCACCCUGCAGCUGGAUUGCCUCCCUGCCUUAGUGCUUAUAGCACUUCUGUAGGAAAAAAAAAGAAAAAAGGCAUUUCCAUCCUCUGCAAACAGCAUUCUAGCAAAUUCCUUGAACAAUUUAUGAGCACUACAUUAAACUGUACCACAGCCCGUGCUGGCCAGAGCUCCGAGCACAGCACUGGGCUGACCCAUCAGGCUCAGCUUUCCUGAUGCUGAGGCUCAAACGAUGCCAGCUCAUUCUCUCUGGAGCCUGAGCUGCCCAGGAAGGCAGCAUGGAGAAGUAGGUGUUCCUGUUUUUCCAAAACAACCUUUUAAUUAUGCUCUUUACUAUAAUAGCAGCCUUUUUCCAACACUUCAGCAGUCAGGGCUAUUAAUUAAGGAGCCAUGGUCUAACAGUGGUAAUAUUAAACCCAGCAUCUUUUGGUAGGCCCUUCUUACACUGAUACAGAAUUUUUCAGGGAAAACCAACCCAGUCAGCCAGUGCUCCUUGUUGGUGACACAGCAGGCUCUCACUACCAAACAGUUUGGAGAGAUGAUUUUCUGCCUGGUCAUAAAGCACUUCUUGUGUGACAGGGAGAGCUCAUGUGCAGUUACUCAUGAAAAAAUCAGUCUGAUAGGCAAGGCUACAAGCCAAGAAGGAGCCUUGCCACAUUCCUGCUGUGUUCUUAUCGCAGGAAUGCUGCUUGACCCAAACUGCCCCUGCCCAGGGAGAGAGGGACCCCUCCAAGUGCUGAGGGUCCCUGUUUUGCCCCACCUCUGUGCAGGGGAUGCUCUGCUGUAGCUGGGACUCAUCCCCCUGAGUGUCACACAGCUGCUUCUGACACAGGAUUUGGGGAGAAUGAAGGCACCCUGGAGAAGAUGCAGCUGUCCCCCCCAAGGUUUCACAGUCAAUCCAUUUCUUGCUCUCUGGACGGAAGGCAAAUUCAUUCAGGCAGGAUCUGGAUGAGGCCUCUGCAGCCCAGCCCCCUGCUCGAGCCCCAGCUGGGCUGGGCUGGCCCCAGUGCAGGCAGGACCCCUGCACAGCCAGAGCUGCACUGCUGCAGGACCCCUGCACAGCCAGAGCUGCACUGCUGUGGGAACCCUGCACAGCCAGAGCUGCACUGCUGCAGGACCCCUGCACAGCCAGAGCUGCACUGCUGCAGGACCCCUGCACAGCCAGAGCUGCACUGCUGCAAGGACCCCUGCACAGCCAGAGCUGCACUGCUGCAGACACCUGGAACCCUGCACAGCCAGAGCUGCACUGCUGCAGGACCCCUGCACAGCCAGAGCUGCACUGCUGCAGACACCUGGAACCCUGCACAGCCAGAGCUGCACUGCUGCAGGACCCCUGCACAGCCAGAGCUGCACUGCUGCAGGAACCCUGCACAGCCAGAGCUGCACUGCUGCAGGAACCCUGCACAGCCAGAGCUGCACUGCUGCGGGAACCCUGCACACACAGAGCUGCUCUGCUGCAGACACCUGGAACCCUGCGCAGCCAGAGCUGCACUGCUGCAGACACCUGGAACCCUGCGCAGCCAGAGCUGCACUGCUGCAGGACCCCUGCACAGCCAGAGCUGCUGCAGCAGUGCAGCUCAGCUGACACAGGCAGCCUCGGGCAGCUCGCAGCUGGAAAAGCUGGGCUAGCUCAGACUGGAGGGCAACUGCUCUUGGCUUUUCCUUGUGGGACAAUUGCUCGUGGCUUCUCCUAAUGGCCACUGAGAUUCGUGGUUUGGAACCCUGGCUGCUCACUUUGGGGCAUUUCUCUACCAAGGCCCAGCUCUCAGGCUGCAUCCUCCAGCUGCCCACAUUUUACACUGCCAGCAGCUCCUGGGCUCCUCCAGGGCCAGGUGUUACCCUCUGCCUGCCCAGGAGCUGAUAAACUGAGAGAGAAGCAGCAAGGAGACAGAUGGAAAAGGAACACUGACAGCCAGACACGUGGCUGUUUCUUUUUCAGGGAUCUCCCGUCCAGGCCCCAGAGCAAUGUUCAGCACUCUGAGGGAGGCAUUUCCAAACUGGUGCGUGAGGGGCACAAGAGCCCUUUAAAGCUGUGGAAAAUCUUGACAGCACCUGUUUGCAGAGAUUUAUUUCAUGUGGGUGCAAUGCCUCAUCCUUAAUCUAAUCUUAGGGAGAAGGUGUAGGAAGAAUUCCAACUAAUUUCAUUAAUUCCAGAUCAGGGGCUGAAAAAACCCACUCAAACAAAAUUCUAAAGCUCUUAAAUUUGAAAAAAAAAAAACCAGUUUUUUUCCUCUCUUUCCCACAUUAAGGCUAGAAGGUUGGGUUGAGACUGGAGCCAUUAUUUGGAUUUGAAAGAUCACCCUUCAAAGAUACCUGUUCAGUCAGGCGCUGAGAACUGGAAAAACAGAGCUGGCUAAACACAGGUUAGAGUCAAAGUGAUGUCCAAGGGAAUUGCUCACCUCUGGAGUAAGCACAGCCACAGCAAACUACUUGUGCAGAAGAGUAAUUAACCUCGGGUUGUUUUUAUGAGCAGGGGUUUUAGGAGGACUUCUUGUGCAGACAGCAUUGCCCACUCCAGGGGUACUGCCCAGGGAGGGUCUUCCCAAGCUGCUCCAGGCAGCAGACCCUCCACAGCCUGGCAGAAAUCGUGGCCCCACGGAAGCCAGCCACAGCUGCACAGAUUUAAUCAGGAGGAGGAUUCCAUGUCUCCUACUUGGAUGUGAAAAAACAAAGGGCUCCACUCUGUUCUCCCACUCUCACUUUCCUGCGUCAGUCAGACCUGCCUUAGUUGUUGCUACAGCUCCUGCUUUUGGAAAGGAACACUCACAGGUGCACACACACCCCCCUUCUCCAGGCCACUGUGUAUUUUCCAGCUUAGCAGGUGACCCAGAUGGGUGAAAGUGCCAAGCAAAGCCCAAAGGCAGCAGUGAGAGCGCUGUGGCUGCAUGUCCUGCACCAGCUGCAGGGGACAGCGAGGACAGGGACACCGUGACCCCUCCAGGUGCCAAGAGCCCUCACACGCCAACAGCCUGACCUUCAAACCACUGCUGUCCUUGUUAAAAACCACCUUCCAACACCACACUGCUUCUCCUUCCUGACCAGGCUGGUUGAAAUGCUGCUUUGGGGCUUUCUGAAGCACUCGGUGACCUGCGGCCAGCUCCCAUCGCCUCCACGCACAGCUCCCGUCCUGCCAGCCCUGAGUGAGAUCCUCUGCAGCCCUUCAGCCAUUCUCACUACCACUCCUGGUGCUAUUAAGAUUCUCAAUGCGUGUAUCUGGUUUCCAAUAGUACGAGCUGCCGGGAAAGGCAGCCACGACACAGAACCAAGAACCAAAACAGAGCAGUAAGGAAAACACUUCGUGACUGAAAAUCAGGCACAUGGACCUCCAUCAGUUCCAAAAUGUCAGCUGAAGCCCUGGGUUCAGCUAUUCUAGAAAGUUAAAUCAAUUUAUUCACUUAAUUCACAGGACGCACUUUCAGAAUUAAACAUUCAUUUUGAGGGAAACGAGGUGAGAGCACACAGGCCAGCUAUGUGCAGCAGCUGAUACCCACAAUUGCUAAUACACUGCUGGAAAAUAAAAACGGAUGAGAAGCAAGCAGUGCUUCCUUAGGCAAAUGCUGCUCCACAUCAGACAACCAAGCAAGACCUUGCUGGCACCCACCCCACUGUGAAAAUGCAGAUUGUGCCCCUAGUACUGCCCUGGAAAAGCCCACACAAUCAACUACCCCCGAGGAGUGUCCACGGAGAUGAGAGACAACAAAUAUAUAUUAAUCAGAACAACAUACCAAAGUUUAUUGAUUACUUCAAACAAAAGUUUCUGUAAUGAAAAAAGAGCAAGUUGCAUUCAUAAAAGGUAACAUUCACAUUCAAUUUCCUUGAUAUAAAGCAACAUAAAUGUAUAAAAUUGCAUUUAAGUGAAAAAAAUGUAAGAUUGCAGUCCUUUUUCUUUGCAAGAAGCUGAAAAUGUAUCUGCUCAUUGCCUGUAUAUAAUUUACAUUUUCUAUACACUACAUGUUUUUUUAAAAAAAUUUGUAGCUGGGAAAUUGGAUAAAUGGUGCAGUAUUAGGAAAGUUUUUCAACGGUGUGUGUACAAAUUCAAUUUGAAGCUUUGAUGCAAUUCCAAGUCAUUUAUAAUAUUCUCAUAACAAUCAGGAUUAGUUUUUGAAAAGUCGCUAUGACUACACCAAGCUCCACUGUUAUCACGUAAGAGUUUGAGAGGGAAUCUUAAUUACUUUCCUUAUCUUUCAGCAUCACUAGUCAGUGAUAAAACUUCAACAAAUGAUUAUGAGAAAACCCCAGCCUUUUUUCCUUCAAGUUUCUCCACCGAAAAGCCUGUACUGACCUUUACUGUACCUGACAGGCAGCACGAGUGCCUCAGGAACGAGCACCCAGCACAGCAUCCCUGUCCCACUGCUGCCCCACACCUCACUGCCCAGACCAGCCCUCUCCUGCCCCUCUCUGACCUCAGGAGGGGCCCCUGGUUCCCCCGAGUCACCCACAGCAAUCAGGAUCUCGGUUUUGCCAUUGCUGAGUGACCAGGAUCAGCUCUCCUGCUGGACCAGGGCAGCCUGGCUCUCCUUGGCACCCAGCCCUACACCAGGGCACCAUCUGAAGAUCCAAGCCCAAGAAAAAACUGCAUUUCCCCCAAAA